GGCCCUAUAGUCUAGAGGUUAGGACGUGGCCCUCUCACGGCUAAGACUGGGGUUCGAUUCCCCAUAGGGCUACCA
rnacentral:tRNA from 1 species